UGCCCUAGUAACGGCGAGUGAAGCGGCAACAGCUCAAAUUUGAAAUCUGGCGUCUUUGGCGUCCGAGUUGUAAUUUGCAGAGGGCGCUUUGGCAUUGGCAGCGGUCCAAGUUCCUUGGAACAGGACGUCACAGAGGGUGAGAAUCCCGUACGUGGUCGCUAGCCUUUACCGUGUAAAGCCCCUUCGACGAGUCGAGUUGUUUGGGAAUGCAGCUCUAAAUGGGAGGUAAAUUUCUUCUAAAGCUAAAUACUGGCCAGAGACCGAUAGCGCACAAGUAGAGUGAUCGAAAGAUGAAAAGCACUUUGGAAAGAGAGUUAAAAAGCACGUGAAAUUGUUGAAAGGGAAGCGCUUGCAGCCAGACUUGCCUGUAGUUGCUCAUCCGGGUUUUUACCCGGUGCACUCUUCUAUAGGCAGGCCAGCAUCAGUUUGGGCGGUUGGAUAAAGGUCUCUGUCAUGUACCUCUCUUCGGGGAGAUCUUAUAGGGGAGACGACAUGCAACCAGCCUGGACUGAGGUCCGCGCAUCUGCUAGGAUGCUGGCGUAAUGGCUGUAAGCGGCCCGUCUUGAAACACGGACCAAGGAGUCUAACAUCUAUGCGAGUGUUUGGGUGUCAAGCCCGAGCGCGUAAUGAAAGUGAACGGAGGUGGGAACCUUUCGGGGUGCACCAUCGACCGAUCCUGAUGUCUUCGGAUGGAUUUGAGUAAGAGCAUAGCUGUUGGGACCCGAAAGAUGGUGAACUAUGCUUGAAUAGGGUGAAGCCAGAGGAAACUCUGGUGGAGGCUCGCAGCGGUUCUGACGUGCAAAUCGAUCGUCAAAUUUGGGCAUAGGGGCGAAAGACUAAUCGAA
rnacentral:rRNA from 1 species